GAUGAACGCUGGCGGCGUGCCUAAUACAUGCAAGUCGAGCGAACAGACGAGGAGCUUGCUCCUCUGACGUUAGCGGCGGACGGGUGAGUAACACGUGGAUAACCUACCUAUAAGACUGGGAUAACUUCGGGAAACCGGAGCUAAUACCGGAUAAUAUAUUGAACCGCAUGGUUCAAUAGUGAAAGACGGUUUUGCUGUCACUUAUAGAUGGAUCCGCGCCGCAUUAGCUAGUUGGUAAGGUAACGGCUUACCAAGGCAACGAUGCGUAGCCGACCUGAGAGGGUGACCGCCCACACGGAAAGGGACACCGGCCCAAGACGCCUGGGGGAGGCAGAAGUGGGGAAUCUUCGGAAAGGGGCGAAAGUUGGACGGAGCAACGCCGCGGGAGUGAUGAAGGUCUUGGGAUCGAAAAACUCUGUUAUGGGGAAAAAAAAAAUGUGAAAGUAACUAGGCACGUCUUGACGGUACCUAAUCAAAAAGCCCCGGCUAACUACGUG
rnacentral:rRNA from 1 species